rfam:Oryza sativa Japonica Group DNA, chromosome 2, cultivar: Nipponbare, complete sequence.
AUAAACUUAAUUCCUGGGUUUUUGUGUCUAACGUUUGAUCAUCCGUCUUAUUUGAAAAAAAAUAUGAAAAAUUUUAAAAAGAUAAGUCAUGCAUAAAGUAUUAUUCAUAUUUUAUCAUCUAACAAUAAUAAAAAAUAGUAAUCAUAAAAAAUAUUUCAUAUAAGACGGACGGUCAAAUGUUGGGCACGAAAACCCAAGAAUUGAGUCCUU